AUUAACUAGUGAGAAUAAAUGCCACGAAAUCUAACAUUAGUACUCUGAACUGAAUUUGCUUAUGCCAGACCUCUAAACAAUAAAUUGUGUUCUGCUGUGUUGCUAUGCCCGUUCAUGAGGCAUAGCCAUUUUAAAGUAAAGCAUCUUGGAGAUUCCAAAAGAGCAGAAUGGGGAAGGGGUGUACUGCUUUAGGCUAGGGGAAAACAGCAAAAAAAAAAAGUGGAUGAAGUAUAUUCUUAGGGGAGACUUGGAGAGCAAACUACAGGAAGUGCUGAGGAAGGAAGAAGGACACCGUGGAUCAUGGUGGAAGGCCCACGUGGACGCAAAGCAGCAAGCACAGACACAGCACAUGACCCCAGGAGCUGAGAGCAGGAGACUGCAUCAGCUUUGGAGACCGUCGGACACAUUGCUGGGGAAAGCCAGACAUGAGCCUCCUUCAGCACCGGACACAGCCUAGGAUCUGGCGGGGCUCAGGACCUCCCCUCCCAUCUCUAGUCCCACGAGACAUUUUCAUGGAUAUGAAACUGGACACCGAGUUGACGCUGAAGUUCAGCUGCUGGGUAUCUUCCAUUUCUGGAGCCUGCUCAUCUUCCUUGUAAAACCCGGCUAGGCCUUCACCCUGGACAGGAGCAACUGGUUCGGAGUCAGUGGCUCAGCCAUGAGGAAGCCGAGAAGCGAUGUCUGCCUCCCCUCCUCCCUCCCAGAGGAUCUGGAUGUGAAACUAACCCAGAGUGGACACUGAAGCUCAGCUGCCAAGUAAUCUCCCAUUCCCAGAGAGAUUGCACAGAUUCCUGCUCAACGCCAGCUGGGUCUUCUUCCUGGAGAGGAGCAACUGGUGAGCAGAUGUGGCUGCCCCAGUAGUGGCCAUGUCUGGAUGCACAAGGGGAAGGGAAGGGAAAGCCCAUUCCCUGGGGUUGGGCGGCCCAGGCUGACAGAGAUGUGGACGUCAUUCCCAUGGCAGGGAGGGUCAUGUGGGUAGCCCCACAGGCAUGGGGAGAAAUGUAGGGGCCUGGUGGGCUUCAGUAGAGUUGGAUAGCAUGCAGACAGGGAUGGAUAGGAUGUUGGGGGAAUGAGUUCCCCCGGGCACUGCAGAGAAUUAGGGGCCAAAGAACAUGGUAAUAGGGGAAUACUUGGGUAUCCAGGAAAUGGGAGGGAGACCUGGAGGAAAAGUGUGUGCUGUUGAGUCAGAGUACAAAACCCAAGAAGUCUGGAUUGGAGAGACGUGUUAAUAAAAGUUUGGGUUUUAGAUUUCGGGCCUAAGAAUGACGGGAUGGAGGUAUUUUGUGUGGUGUGAGUGGAGGGUUAGAUUUCAUGGAAGAACCGGGGCAUGCAAUGUGUUGGGAGCUGAAAUCAGGUAAUUUCUGUAUAUUGCCACUCUGUGAUAUAGACAGGGAAAUGGAAGGAGUGUAUGGAGGAGGUCAGGUGACUUUCAGUAGAGUUGUAAUAGGGAGGAGCUGGUAGGUCUACUAGUAGAACUGGUGGAGUCUCCGAGUAUUAGACCUGGGACAGCAUCUGGGCAACAACCUUAGGAAAAUGAGGGUAAGAAAAUGGUGAUGGGUGUGGUGUGGUCUUUCUUAGGGACUGUGGUAUGGGUGCACGGUUAAUUAGGAAACUUUGACAAAGCUCUCGGGAAUACCAGGGAUGGGAGAGGAUUUUCUGGGAGAAAACUGGAUUGGUGGUGUGCUUAGGAAGACAAGAACCUGAUCAAGCCUGGAAUGAAAUUUGAGGCUUGAGGUCAGCUUAUAGAAGUCUGAAUUUGGGCAGAGGACUCUGUCUUGGUAAAGGUGUAUUUCUUGUCUUUCAAGAUGUUUCUGUUAUGUGCCAGCAUUUGUUCUCGUUAUUUAAUGUAAUGCAGGGGGCAACGUGAGGUACUUUGAAAAGUUUGUGGAAAGAAGCAGUUGUGAGUUUGUUGUCUUUCAAGACAUUUUGAUGAACUGCGUACAGCUUUGUCAUGGUGCAUGUUUUCCAUAUCCUUCUAGGCAGCUCUGUGUGAAAGCUUCUGCUUUCAUGGAGUGUUUGUUCUGAUUGCUGUUUGGGGGCUGGGAAUGACUUAGUCCUGCAGGACUUUACCAGGUAGGAGUUCUUGAAAUAUCUUCCUCUU